rnacentral:rRNA from 1 species
AUGCUGCUCAAUUGUUUCUAUUCGGCGAUCAUCACUGUACCCUCUGUCAAUCGCCUUCAGGUCUUCAGCUCCGAUAGCCUCCUGAACAAAACAUGGGUCAAAGCUGGAGCAGGGCAUGAUCAAAUCAACAGUCAUGUGGCAACGCAAAACCUACAACCUCAGUCUAAAAUUAAGAGGGAGUAUUUGUUUGCUGAGCAUUUUCGUGCAAAUGAACAUCAACUUCUGGCAUCAAUUUAUUUAUACUGGCUAUGUUGCCUGAAUCUCGCAAUUAGUGCUGCAGUCAUUGCCAGUUCGGCUCAGAGAAUUGGUGCCGGUGCUACUGUUGAAGAUCGGAGCAGAAAAUCGGUGCCUUGCUGA